UCUCCGUAGGUGAACCUGCGGAGGGAUCAUUACAGAGUUCAUGCCCUACCGGGUAGAUCUCCCACCCUAUGUUAUUAUUGCUUUGUUGCUUAGGCGGGCCGUUAGGCUCCGGCCCGACUACCGGCCCCGGCUGGUAAGCGCCCGCCAGAGGACCCAAAACCCUGAAUAUUAGUGUCGUCUGAGUACUAUAUAAUAGUUAAAACUUUCAACAACGGAUCUCUUGGUUCUG
rnacentral:misc_RNA from 1 species